ACGCGAUCAGUCCACAGAGCGUGCAGUCGAGCGGGGAAAAGGUAGCUUGCUACCUGACCUAGCGGCGGACGGGUGAGUAAUGCUUAGGAAUCUGCCUAUUAGUGGGGGACAACAUUCCGAAAGGAAUGCUAAUACCGCAUACGCCCUACGGGGGAAAGCAGGGGAUCUUCGGACCUUGCGCUAAUAGAUGAGCCUAAGUCAGAUUAGCUAGUUGGUGGGGUAAAGGCCUACCAAGGCGACGAUCUGUAGCGGGUCUGAGAGGAUGAUCCGCCACACUGGGACUGAGACACGGCCCAGACUCCUACGGGAGGCAGCAGUGGGGAAUAUUGGACAAUGGGCGAAAGCCUGAUCCAGCCAUGCCGCGUGUGUGAAGAAGGCCUUUUGGUUGUAAAGCACUUUAAGCGAGGAGGAGGCUACCGAGAUUAAUACUCUUGGAUAGUGGACGUUACUCGCAGAAUAAGCACCGGCUAACUCUGUGCCAGCAGCCGCGGUAAUACAGAGGGUGCGAGCGUUAAUCGGAUUUACUGGGCGUAAAGCGUGCGUAGGCGGCUUUUUAAGUCGGAUGUGAAAUCCCUGAGCUUAACUUAGGAAUUGCAUUCGAUACUGGGAAGCUAGAGUAUGGGAGAGGAUGGUAGAAUUCCAGGUGUAGCGGUGAAAUGCGUAGAGAUCUGGAGGAAUACCGAUGGCGAAGGCAGCCAUCUGGCCUAAUACUGACGCUGAGGUACGAAAGCAUGGGGAGCAAACAGGAUUAGAUACCCUGGUAGUCCAUGCCGUAAACGAUGUCUACUAGCCGUUGGGGCCUUUGAGGCUUUAGUGGCGCAGCUAACGCGAUAAGUAGACCGCCUGGGGAGUACGGUCGCAAGACUAAAACUCAAAUGAAUUGACGGGGGCCCGCACAAGCGGUGGAGCAUGUGGUUUAAUUCGAUGCAACGCGAAGAACCUUACCUGGUCUUGACAUAGUAAGAACUUUCCAGAGAUGGAUUGGUGCCUUCGGGAACUUACAUACAGGUGCUGCAUGGCUGGCGUCAGCUCGUGUCUUGAGAUGUUGAGUUAAUUCCCGCAACGAGCGCAACCCUUUUCCUUAUUUGCCAGCGGGUGAAUUCGGGAACUUUUAGGAUACUGCCGUUUACUAACGUGUAGGUAGCUGGUAGACUAAGU
rnacentral:rRNA from 1 species